UUUUCAUUUCAAAUCGAUUCACACACAUAGCAGACGCUAACACAUCAAGCGUCAUCAAUAGCGUGGUCUGUGGUGCAAUGCUAUCGCUGGAGUAAGGCGUUUACCUUCAAUUCGGGUAGCGUCAUGAUUGGCCUACCCUGAUGGCGUCAUGAUCGCUGCUGAUUGCCUUUCAAAUAGGUUUUCAGCAUUCUGCUUACACCUUUGGCAUAGAGUCACAUAUUUCACAAUCCAACAUCAAUUGGUACCAACAGCAGCCCUUCUCUCCAUCAUCCAGAAGGGUCUGAGAUCAGUGUUGGAGAUGAUGGUUCGGAACAACCCAUGGAAAGCUUAUCACUCAUUGAUGCUGUGAUGCCUGAUGUUGUUGCAAGUCGUUAACAGCAAACACAGAACAAUCAGAAACAAAAGUGGUAAGACAGAACCACCAAAUUCCAAUGGAGAUGAACCCAUGCAUUCCUAUCGCUGGGAAGAGGAAACAGGAGUAGAGAUACCUGCCAGCAAAUCUACUGUACUUCGUGGCCAUGAAUCUGAAGUUUUCAUCUGUCUGCGCUUGAACCCAACAACAUUCAGAAGGGUGGAACUGAAGUUCCGAGCAACAAAGAUGUCACCUCACUUGACUGUGUGAUGGAAUGUGCAUUUUCAUCCGAUGGCAAAUACCUAGCAUCUGGUAGCUUUGACUAAUGUGUACACAGCUGGUCUACUCAGUCUGGGCAAUUGUUACACAGCUACAAAGGAACUGGAGGCAUUUUUGAAGUUUGCUGGAAUUCUCGGGGCGAUAAAGUUGGAGCAAGUGCUUUUGACGGAAGUGUAUUUGCUGGGAUAACUGAAGAGAAGUUUUAAAGAAAGACGGAAACAAUUGACAAGGCAAAAGAUUGGGAACCUGAAUGCUAUUCAGGUUUAAAGGAUGGUCAGUGACUACAGUUGGGAAUGAGGUUUUCAGUUCUAACACUAUUUCCUCCAGUAGUUCCACGUUAUUACCUCAUUAUCCUGGUACCGUGUCCAUAAAGCAAAAAGGAUGGAGUUCUUCAACUGUGUCUCCUUCUUCCUAUGGGCCUUGAUUUUCUCGUGUGAGAGAAGCUUCUGUGAUAGCUUUACGUCUUCCAACCAAAUCUUU